GGGUGCUUAGCGCAAUGGUAGCGUGUUUGGCUUCGAUGCCACGACACCAAAAGGUUGCAGGUUCGAGUCCUGCAGUGCUCA